rnacentral:rRNA from 1 species
GGCGGCGUGCCUAAUACAUGCAAGUCGAGCGAACAGAGAAAGUGCUUGCACUUUCAAAGUUAGCGGCGGACGGGUGAGUAACACGUAAGGAACCUACCGAUAAGCGGGGGACAACAUCCGGAAACGGGUGCUAAUACCGCAUAGGAAGUUUGUUCGCAUGAACAAACUUAGAAAGAUGGCUCUGCUAUCACUUAUCGAUGGCCUUGCGGUGCAUUAACUAGUUGGCGAGGUAACGGCUCACCAAGGUGAUGAUGCAUAGCCGACCUGAGAGGGUAAUCGGCCACAUUGGGACUGAGACACGGCCCAAACUCCUACGGGAGGCAGCAGUAGGGAAUCUUCCGCAAUGGACGCAAGUCUGACGGAGCAACGCCGCGUGAGUGAAGAAGGUUUUCGGAUCGUAAAACUCUGUUGUAAGAGAAGAACAAAUUGUAGAGUAACUGCUACAGUCUUGACGUAUCUACCAGAAGCCACG